UACCUAAUAGCUAGCCCCAACUAUAAGUACAACAAUAAAUAUUAAUAACCCCACAACCCCGAACUAUACCAAACAAAACAUUUUUCCACCUAAGUAUGGGCGACAGAAAAGGAAUAACGGAGCGAUAGAGAAAGUACCGCAAGGGAACGCUGAAAAAGAGGUGAAACAGCUUAGUUAAGCUAAAAAAAGCAGAGCUUCAGCCUUGUACCUUUUGCAUCAUGACUUAGCCAGCUAACUACAAGCAAAAAGCCUUUUGGUUUGUAACCCCGAAACUAAGCGAGCUACUCCAAGACAGCCUAUUAGGGGCCAACCCUUCUCUGUGGCAAAAGAGUGGGAAGAUCUUUGAGUAGGGGUGAUAGACCUACCGAGCUUAGUUAUAGCUGGUUGCCUGAAAAAUGAAUAGAAGUUCAGCUCCUUUUUUCUUUCCCUCUACCCGUAUUUUUACGCUACCCGACCCGGAACAGUUAAGGAAGUUAUUUAAAGGGGGUACAGCCCCUUUAAACCAAGAAACAACUUUAUCAGGGGGGUAAAGAUCAUAAUAACCAAGGUAAAGUAUUCUGGUGGGCCUAAAAGCAGCCAUCUAGUAAGAAAGCGUUAAAGCUCAAAUACUCGCGUACCUAAUAAUUCAGACAACGUUUCUGAACCCCCUAGCUCUAUCGGGCUUCCCCAUGCUCCCAUGGGUGUAAUCCUGCUAAGAUGAGUAAUCAGGGGCUAGAACCCCUCCUAGCACUCGUGUAUUUCGGAACGGACUCUCCACCGAACCUUAUCGGCCCCAACCAAAGAGGGCACUGAAUAAUAAAUAAACCACAAGAAAAUUUUUCAAAAAACACCGUUAACCCCACACUGGUGUGCUAACAAGGAAAGACUAAAAGAAAGGGAAGGAACUCGGCAAACUUAAGCCUCGCCUGUUUACCAAAAACAUCGCCUCUUGUUGCCUAAAAAUAAGAGGUCCCGCCUGCCCUGUGACAAAGGUUUAACGGCCGCGGUAUUUUGACCGUGCAAAGGUAGCGCAAUCACUUGUCUUUUAAAUGAAGACCUGUAUGAAAGGCAUAACGAGGGCUUAGCUGUCUCCUCUUUCCAGUCAAUGAAAUUGAUCUCCCCGUGCAGAAGCGGGGAUAUGAACAUAAGACGAGAAGACCCUGUGGAGCUUUAGAUACUAAAGCAGCUUUUGUUAAGGCCCCUCACUAAGGAGGGCCAACCAAAAACUCCCUGCUCCCUAUCUUUGGUUGGGGCGACCGCGGGGUAACAAACAACCCCCAUGUGGACUGAGUAAACCUCUUACAACCUAGGGCCACCGCCCUAAGUAACAGAACUUCUGACCUUAAGAUCCGGUAGACCGAUCAACGAACCAAGUUACCCCAGGGAUAACAGCGCAAUCCUCUUCUAGAGCCCAUAUCGACAAGGGGGUUUACGACCUCGAUGUUGGAUCAGGACAUCCUAAUGGUGCAGCCGCUAUUAAGGGUUCGUUUGUUCAACGAUUAAUAGUCCU
rnacentral:rRNA from 1 species